AUAGUAGCGUCGUGUAUAGGAGAGAAACUCGUAAAAAUUUUCAUCUUCGAAGCUACGCCAGCGACAUCUAUAGAUUGCGCCAAUCAAGAAAAGAGCGCGUAAUUUAAAUUUGAAAAGGGUGCCAGCCCCAUAACCAGGGUUAUGUGAUCCAAUUUGGAAUUUCGAUUAAUGUUGGAAGUGAAACGAAUGCGUUUAGAUGAUUAACAUCCUAAUUUAAUGUAUAUCGAACAUUAUGUAAAUAUUAAACUAUUAAUAACAAUGUAAAGAAGAGAAAAACAAAAGGUAAAAAAUUUGUUGUUUAAAUUUUGGUCAAUAAUUGUUCUAGGUAUAUAGUUUUGUUUUUGCAAUAAAUAGAUCAGAAAGUCAUAAAAUUGGAGGGAAUUUUGUCGAUAGAGAUUUUUAUUGUUAAAAUUGUAUAAUAUUGGAAAUAUUUUCUAUAUUAAGAGAUAUUAAAUAAGCAAGUUUUAUCUACA